rnacentral:lncRNA from 1 species
CCCUAGCCGCGCCAGGAGGAUGCCUGGGUGGCCCCCACCUCCUCCGGUGCCCUCCAGCGGCCUAUAUUUAGUCCUCCGAGAGAAAACCCUUCUACAACUUCCGGAAUCAUGAAUUUCUCCAUCGUUCUGCCGAUGCUGCGCUUCCGAGAUUGGGAGCGUCAGGAGACCUCUUCCCGGCACCCUGCCAGAGGGAGGAUUGACCUCCGGGAGCUUCUCCACCACCAUGGACGCUUCCCGGACGUGCUGUGAGUAGUCCUCCUUGGACCAUGGGUCCAUGACCAGUGCUAUGUGGUGUCUUCUCUCCAAUCUUGUGCUUAAAUGGUUAGUCCUUGUGAGUUGCCCUACAUGAUCAAGGCAUCUAUGCAAUUCUCUUGCUAUUGUUAUGCUCAGAUUGUUGGGAUCCGAUGGAUUAUGAGAUUAUGUUCAGAUUUUUAUGAGUUAUAUAUUUGAUUAUCC